UUAUCUUAGUGGCGAACGGGUGAGUAACGCGUUGGUGACCUGCCCCGAAGAGAGGGAUAGCAGUUCGAAAGGACUGAUAAUACCCCAUGUGGUUGUCGGUUUUAGAAUCUGAUAACUAAACGGCGAAAGUCGCUUCGGGAGGGGCCUGCGUCCCAUCAGCUAGUUGGUAGGGUAAUGGCCUACCAAGGCUAUGACGGGUAGGGGACCUGAGAGGGUGGCCCCCCACAAUGGAACUGAAACACGGUCCAUACACCUACGGGUGGCAGCAGUAGGGAAUAUUGGUAAUGUGCGAAAGCGCGAACCAGCAACGCCGCGUGCACGAUGAAGGCCUUCGGGUCGUAAAGUGCUUUUAGAGAGGAUGAGGAAGGACAGUACUUUCUGAAUAAGCCUCGGCUAACUACGUGCCAGCAGCCGCGGUAAAACGUAGGAGGCAAGCGUUAUCCGGAUUUACUGGGCGUAAAGCGCAUGCAGGUGGUUUUGUAAGUUGGAUGUGAAAGCUCCUGGCUUAACUGGGAGAGGUCGUUCAAAACUACAAGACUUGAGAUUGGUAGAGGAAAAUGGAAUUCCGGGUGUAGUGGUGAAAUGCGUAGAUAUCCGGAGGAACACCAGUGGCGAAAGCGGUUUUCUGGACCAAUUCUGACACUCAGAUGCGAAAGCUAAGGUAGCAAACGGGAUUAGAGACCCCGGUAGUCUUAGCUGUAAACUAUGUGAACUU
rnacentral:rRNA from 1 species